CAGCCGCCACGGUAAUACCAGCAGCCCAAGUGGUGGUCGCGUUUAUUGGGCCUAAAGCGCUCGUAGCCUGACCGGUAAGUUCCCCGUGAAAUCGGGUCGCCCAACGAUUCGGCUUGCGGGGAAUACUGUCGGUCUUGGGGCCGGGAGACGCCGAGGGUACUCCGGGGGUAGCGGUGAAAUGCUGUAAUCCUCGGGGGACUACCAGUGGCGAAGGCGCUCGGCGAUAACGGGCCUGACGGUGAGGGGCGAAAGCUGGGGGCGCGAACGGGAUUAGAUACCCGCGUAGUCCCUGUCUCUUAUA
rnacentral:rRNA from 1 species